CUUUAUACUGUGAAACUGCGAAUGGCUCAUUAAAUCAGUUAUCGUUUAUUUGAUAGUACCUUACUACAUGGAUACCUGUGGUAAUUCUAGAGCUAAUACAUGCUAAAAACCUCGACUUCGGAAGGGGUGUAUUUAUUAGAUAAAAAACCAAUGCCCUUCGGGGCUCCUUGGUGAUUCAUAAUAACUUAACGAAUCGCAUGGCCUUGCGCCGGCGAUGGUUCAUUCAAAUUUCUGCCCUAUCAACUUUCGAUGGUAGGAUAGUGGCCUACCAUGGUGGCAACGGGUAACGGGGAAUUAGGGUUCGAUUCCGGAGAGGGAGCCUGAGAAACGGCUACCACAUCCAAGGAAGGCAGCAGGCGCGCAAAUUACCCAAUCCCGACACGGGGAGGUAGUGACAAUAAAUACUGAUACGGGGCUCUUUUGGGUCUCGUAAUUGGAAUGAGUACAAUCUAAAUCCCUUAACGAGGAACAAUUGGAGGGCAAGUCUGGUGCCAGCAGCCGCGGUAAUUCCAGCUCCAAUAGCGUAUAUUAAAGUCGUUGCAGUCAAAAAGCUCGUAGUAGAACCUGGGUCUGGCUGCCGGUCCGCCUCACCGCGAGUACUGGUCCCGCUGA
rnacentral:rRNA from 1 species